rnacentral:rRNA from 1 species
UAGGGAAUCUUCCGCAAUGGACGCAAGUCUGACGGAGCAACGCCGCGUGAGUGAAGAAGGUUUUCGGAUCGUAAAACUCUGUUGUUAGAGAAGAACAAGUGCUAGAGUAACUGUUAGCGCCUUGACGGUAUCUAACCAGAAAGCCACGGCUAACUACGUGCCAGCAGCCGCGGUAAUACGUAGGUGGCAAGCGUUGUCCGGAUUUAUUGGGCGUAAAGCGAGCGCAGGCGGUUCCUUAAGUCUGAUGUGAAAGCCCCCGGCUCAACCGGGGAGGGUCAUUGGAAACUGGGGAACUUGAGUGCAGAAGAGGAGAGUGGAAUUCCAUGUGUAGCGGUGAAAUGCGUAGAUAUAUGGAGGAACACCAGUGGCGAAGGCGGCUCUCUGGUCUGUAACUGACGCUGAGGCUCGAAAGCGUGGGUAGCAAACAGGAUUAGAUACCCUGGUAGUCCACGCCGUAAACGAUGAGUGCUAAGUGUUGGAGGGUUUCCGCCCUUCAGUGCUGCAGUUAACGCAUUAAGCACUCCGCCUGGGGAGUACGACCGCAAGGUUG